CCGCGGUCAUGGAGACUCUACCCUCCGACCACUCAUCGUAGUUGACAAGUGAAAUAUGAAUUAGCUAAAAGAAAGCUAGACCAGGACAAGUGGAUGCUCUAGAUUAGGCAAAUCUAGAUUCAGGGAAAGUACUUAACUUGUGAAGUAAAAUUUUGGCAUAAGGAUUCACUACUAGUAAGCUCUUCUGCAAAAUGAGUCCUUGAAAUUUGAUAAGCCUUACCUUGAUUCCUAAUGAGCCAUCAUAUCCUUGAGAGUCUUUUCUUUAGUCGGGUAAGUCUUGCUGAGUAAUUCCAUACUCAGGGUUUUAUUCCCUGUUGUUUUUUCAGGUCAUAGUUUUGUGCUGCUGAUGGUGGUGUUAAGUGCCGGUGGGCUCGGCCUUCUUAUAAGUCUAAGUAACCCUUCUAUACUUCUUAUUGAGGGUGGUCACUUGAGCUACCAUAUAUUUCAAACUUAUACUUUCGUAAUCACUCCGAUGAAUAUAAUGUAAAAUUUUUGUAACUUGUAAACUUUGGUAAUAAGAUUUCCGCUGCAAAAAUAUUGAUGUGUGUGAUUUGUGUUACUUAAUCCUGUGGUCCUGGUUGUAAGUGGUUUAUCCGAUGUCCUUGGGGCAAUCGGACGGAUCCUAUUAAGUUAUCUGGUGCACAUGCAGAGCCGUCUGAGGUCUUUGAGACAAGGACAGGUGCAUGUGGGCCCGAUAACUUGGGAGGUUCUGCCACAGCUGGUAUCGGA
rnacentral:lncRNA from 1 species